rnacentral:lncRNA from 1 species
UGGUAAUACAAAUUUUUAAAACUAAGUAUUUAGUGGUUGCUUGGUCAUGAAGCAAAAAAGUAAGAAGUGAGUAUUUUUAAAAAUUCCUGUACUAUUUUCCUAGGACAUCAAGCCCUAGUACAGGAAGGGACAUUUUCACACUAAUCUGUGCCAGCUGGAGCAGUCCUGCCAUCUGAACAUCAUAUUUUGGAACAUCGAGAAGCUAGGAUGCAGUUAACAGCCUCCAUGGUUACCUGAAAAUAGGAAGGAAGGAAGUCUACGAUGAUGGAGCCACAAGAUAUAUGCAUUCUUUACUGUAAAAGAUCACACAGAAAUUCUAGUUUAUAGAUUCCCCAAUGUUACUAUUCAGCCUUUGGGAGCCUGAUUCAAUUUGAAAGAGUAGAUAAAAUAUAGUUUCUAGAACUGACAAGGUGAGGAUGAGACCCAAGACCAGGGCAUGGCCACUACCAUGUGAACACUGGGAGGUCCUACAACCUCCCCUGACAUUUCUCUUGAACUUCUCAAAGUUACCUGCUGGGACCCCA